UAAGCGGUGGAUCACUUGGCUCAUUGGUUGAUGAAGAAUGCAGCCAGCUCAGAGAUUUGAUGUGAAUUGCAGGACACUCAGAUCACUGAUAUUUCAAAUGCACAUUGGGAUUCCGACUCUGUGUUGGAGCCUCGCCAGUCUG